UCUUUUGCCGCCCAUGACACACAUCUCUGGCUAGUUCAGAGCUAUGCCUGUGCUGGCAGGCCAGGCAGCAUGCUGCCCCAGCAAGCCAAGUCAUAACUGCCUUUCCCUCCAUAUGGUGUGUUUCACUGCGAUCUCUAAGACAGUCAUCUUCUCUCUCCUUAUGGCAAAACUUACAUUGAUCACAGAUCAUCUGUAAACCAGAUAAUCUGAUAGUGGAUAAUUGGGAGCUGACUCUCAAGGAUUGUUGGAUGCUGCCUCUAACUGUUGUGCUGUUUCUUCGUGUUCACAGUUCCAGUUUAAAACACACACACCCUCCAGAUCUGACCGACACCUUGGGCUAGAAUGAACCACUAGUUUUUUUCAUAAAUUGGGUAGAACAUGACUUCAGUCAGCACCCUACUGACACAUUUUGCCUCUCUCACCUCAUUUUAUGAUUCUGACAUCACUAAAACUUAAAGGCAAGCAAGAGAUUACUCACAAGAAAACAAACUAUGUGAAACGUGGGAUAAUACUUCAA